CAUGCCGAAAACAUAGAGUUAAUGCACCUGAUCCCAUUAGAACUCCGCAUUUAAGCACACUCAGGCUAGAGUAGUACUGGGAUGGGUUUUUUACCGAGAAGUCCUAGUGUUUUACAUGC
rnacentral:rRNA from 1 species